UGGUUCUGGCAUCGAUGAAGAACGCAGCGAAAUGCGAUAAGUAAUGUGAAUUGCAGAAUUCAGUGAAUCAUCGAAUCUUUGAACGCACAUUGCGCCCCUUGGUAUUCCGGGGGGCAUGCCUGUUCGAGCGUCAUUACAACCCUCAAGCUCUGCUUGGUAUUGGGCCUCGCUGUGGACGCGGCGGGCCUCAAAUUCAGUGGCGGAACCUCUGGGUCCUGAGCGUAGUAAAUGUCCUCGCUACAGGGUCUCAGUGGCCUCUAGCCAGCAACCCCCACAUCUUAGUUUGACCUCGGAUCAGGUAGGGAUACCCGCUGA
rnacentral:misc_RNA from 1 species